UUUUAGGAGGGGUUCUGAAAGAGAAAUAUCAACUAACAAAGAGUCACUGACAACAACCAGAACCAAACAGGUGGGGUUUUAGGAGGGGUUCUGAAAGAGAAAUAUCAACUAACAAAGAGUCACUGACAACAACCAGAACCAAACAGGUGGGGUUUUAGGAGGGGUUCUGAAAGAGAAAUAUCAACUAACAAAGAGUCACUGACAACAACCAGAACCAAACAGGUGGGGUUUUAGGAGGGGUUCUGAAAGAGAAAUAUCAACUAACAAAGAGUCACUGACAACAACCAGAACCAAACAGGUGGGGUUUUAGGAGGGGUUCUGAAAGAGAAAUAUCAACUAACAAAGAGUCACUGACAACAACCAGAACCAAACAGGUGGGGUUUUAGGAGGGGUUCUGAAAGAGAAAUAUCAACUAACAAAGAGUCACUGACAACAACCAGAACCAAACAGGUGGGGUUUUAGGAGGGGUUCUGAAAGACAC